rnacentral:rRNA from 1 species
CCUACGGGCGGCAGCAGUCGAGAAUCAUUCACAAUGGGGGAAACCCUGAUGGUGCGACGCCGCGUGGGGGAAUGAAGGUCUUCGGAUUGUAAACCCCUGUCAUGUGGGAGCAAAUUAAAAAGAUAGUACCACAAGAGGAAGAGACGGCUAACUCUGUGCCAGCAGCCGCGGUAAUACAGAGGUCUCAAGCGUUGUUCGGAAUCACUGGGCGUAAAGCGUGCGUAGGCUGUUUCGUAAGUCGUGUGUGAAAGGCGCGGGCUCAACCCGCGGAAGGCACAUGAUACUGCGAGACUAGAGUACUGGUGGGGGAACCGGAAUUCUCGGUGUAGCAGUGAAAUGCGUAGAUAUCGAGAGGAACACUCGUGGCGAAGGCGGGUUCCUGGACAUUAACUGACGCUGAGGCACGAAGGCCAGGGGAGCGAAAGGGAUUAGAUACCCGAGUAGUC